rnacentral:rRNA from 1 species
UACGAGAGGCCCAAACGUUAUUCGGAAUUACUGGGCUUAAAGAGUUCGUAGGCGGCGCAGAAAGUCGGGUGUGAAAGCCCCCGGCUUAACCGAGGAAUUGCGCUCGAAACUACUGUGCUUGAGGAACCUAGAGGUGAGCAGAACAGAUGGUGGAGCGGUGAAAUGCGUUGAUAUCAGCUGGAAUACCGGAGGCGAAGGCGGCUCACUGGGGGUUUUCUGACGCUGAGGCGCGAAAGCUAGGGGAGCGAACGGG